UGAAAAGUCGACUGCGGAUCUGCAAGGGAUAGGAUGGUAGUGGAUCAGAUGAUUAUAUAAAAGUAUAAUGUGCCCGUGUCACCAACGGAUGAUCGAGAUGGUAUGUCCGGUAUCACUUUAAAUGUUCACAACUCUCAGGAUGGCGUAUUUCUGCCUGCCGCUUAUUUCCUGCUUGACCUUGUGAACUCGUCCGUGUGACCCGGAAAAAUCACUUCCAAUUCUCAUCUUUUAUUUUGAUAUGCCUGGGCUUGUUAUGUAUUACCCAGACAGGAUGUGACAUCACCGGGUCCAAACGUCAGGACGGGCUACCUAGGAUGUCCAGAACCCGUGCUGCUGGAGGAUGCUUCCUCGCAGCGGGGUCCAGUCAAGUGAUGCUCGCUGGAGGAUGUAGGAGUAAAACCAAGCAGGCGAGACAGAGGCACAGGAGACUGAAAAUCUCUAUUUCCUCUUCUUCCUGGUUUGAGUAUGACCCUUCACCUGGCUUGUGACCCUUCAACUGGAUAUCACUCCGAAGAGUUGGCUCUGGGGCAGGCUACUCCUGUUGAACCACAGGCUGUCUCUCCUCCGACAGACUGCGCUGUGAGAGAGCCAAGCCAUUAGACACUCCCAGUGCUGAUAAUGAAGGCACAGAGGUGGUCCAAAGCAGCGUGAUGCGGUGGAGGAGAGAAGAGCAGGAGCGGAGAAGGAAGUGUUAGACCAGCACCCUGUCUACAACAUCACAGCCAGUCAACACUGGGGCUGUGACUACUGGCAUGACUGGGACCAGUGUGGCCCAGACUCCUCUCCUCCAUACCCAGACUGUAGCAGCUGAUCCCCAUCGCCACCAGGGGCACCUGGCUCCCCUCCCUCCUCUGGCUGGAUCAAUGACUAGAGACAUCCCAUCCCAGGGACCAGGGGUCAGCAUCAAAAGCCCCCUGCCCACAUCCUUGCCACCUGGUGCUCUCUUUAGGACGAGGGGGUACACUUCCACCCCUCCACCCUCCUCCUGAACAGACCAGGCUGUUUGGACAUGGAGCCAGAACAGGGCCUUCGUGUGAUCUCCCGCGCCCCUCCCCAGCCGCCCCCCACAGGGAGAGGGCCAGGGGUCAACCCCAUCAGACCACCACACGGCUCACAGAGCCAUUUGAUGAGGGGGAUCUGUUUUAGAUUUCAUAAUGCCCUCUGAAUCAUGAUCCUGAGCCCUACUCAACUUGGUUAAAUAUGUAAUCUGUUUGUCAAAAGCUUCAUGUUGUAAAAACAUUUGUUUUCAGGGAUUUAUGGAUGUGAAGUUGACCUGGUCAAUUAAGGUUUGUAGAUGACUGUUUUCCUGAUUUGAUACAGUACAUACACAACAAUAUACAACAAUACUCACUUGACUUAAUUACUGGUUCAAAUGAACAUAUCAUCAACAUACUGUUAUUUAUGAUACUGUUUAUUAGGUCAUUGAGUAAUUGGGGCAUGUAUGACACCAUAUUGACAGUUAUGAUAAUUAAUCUGACAUGUUUCUGACUAAUCACAACAGGCUUCAAUUUCACUAACUCAUACAUAAUAAUGUAUGAUGUGUCACUACCUCACAGAUUCCUACCAAUGGAAAACUGAACAUGCAGUAUAAAAAAAUCUGCCACUCUUGAAGGACAAUAGAAGUUAAAUAUACGAGAAUAUGUUGUUAAAAAUAAUACCUUUUUGACAUUGAUGCCUUCGAUCCAGUGUUAGACUUCACUGACUGACUUUACUGACUCGUGGAAGUGUUUUACGGUCAUUAAACUUUGAUACAACAUGCCCAAUAUGAAGACUCAGUUCCUCUGUGAUACAGAGUCUGUAUGUUGUUCAGGCUGUCAGUACAUCAUGAAUACAUAUUAAUGAACCCAGAUUUCUAAAUCUGUUUAUUGAGCUUCUUCUUCCAUUUCCUCCCUCCAUUCUUUCCUCCAAUGCCUUAGCAGAUCCCAGUAUGUCCCCUAGUCUUGUGACAAGGGAUGAAAAGGAGAGAAAAAAAGGUCUAAUGAGUUUGGCAAAAGGAGGACGGAGGGGGGAGACAGAUGGCAUGAAGUCUGCGUGGCUCUGGCGUGGCUCGCCUGGUGCUAAAAUCCUCCUCUCUUACAUUCCAACAAAUCCUAGCAGGAGGUUGGGGAGUCUGCCACACCACUCAGUGGAUCCACGGGGUUCUCUCUUGCACCCCUUUCCUCACUCCCCUGCACCCCGUAAGUCCCUGGCCAAGGGUGUCAGCCUCCCCCAUACCAUAUCCCCACAUGUAUACAUAUAUUAACAUGUUUGUACAGUAUAUAUAGUAUGAUGGGCCAUUUUAUUGGCCUGCUAAGAUAAUAAACACAGGAGGGUGUGAGACGGAGACAGGCGCUGAUUGUUAGUAUGGAAUUGGGCGUGUGGGAUCAAAUUGGGAGUGGACCUAUCCCUCCACUCUAGUGUCAAAUCUCAUUGAGUAAACAUAGGACCAAAGCAUGGAGGCAAAGACUGUAAUCCAUUUAUAUGAGAGGAAGAAAACCUAAGUAGCUUUUCAAUUAGUUUCGCCACCCCCAGCUCCUGAUAAGGAGGAAACGCUGGCAAGUUGAGCCUGUCACAGGCCAGACAUGCCCCGCUCAGAUUGCCCCAUAUUCUCCUCAGUCGGUCUGUCGGUGGGGCUUAUGGCCAAAUGUACAGUAAGUGUAACUGCAUGGUAAUCACACACAGACAGUAGGUCCCACCACUGGCCCGCGGUGACCGCAUGACGUCUUCAUGUGUUUCCACUUCUACAUUGUUUUUGGAUUGCAUUUGAAUUUUAGGAAUGUGCAUUGAGGAGCACCAUAUUAAAGGACAUCAGCGAUAUGAUAAGCAUGUUUAUAAUGUAUAUUACGGACUAUCUCUCUCAAUAUUCUCUCUCUCUUUAUUCUCUCUCUCUCUCUUUCGUCUCUCUCUCAUUCUCUCUCUUGCGUUUCUCUGUCUGUCUCUGUGUAUAAUUGACUGUAUAGUGCACGCUAUCAAUCUCUAACACACUUUUCUCUCUCUCUCUGCAUGUAUAUAUUGUGUAUAAUGUACUGUGCAGUGUACACUAUCAAUCUUUAUCUCACUAUCUCUCUCUCUCUCCUCUCUCUUUAUUCUCUCUUUCUCUCUUUCGUCUCUCUGUCUCUCUGUGUAUAAUUGACUGUAUAGUGCACACUAUCAAUCUCUAACACACUUUAUUCUCUCUCUCUGCAUGUAUAUAUUGUGUAUAAUGUACUGUGCAGUGUACACUAUCAAUCUUUAUCUCACUAUCUCUCUCCUCUCUCUCUCUCUCUCUCUCUCUGCACUUUGCCUUCUGCUCAUGCUAUUGAGUGGCUCUUCUGGGAAAGGAGGAUGCUGUGAAGAGGUCACAGGAGGUUUGAGUAUCAAAUUACUGUUAAUGAUAACGAUAAUAAAAAGAGAAAUCUGCUCCAAA